UAUCUCUGUAGAGUCUGCAUAUCAAUAAGCGGAGGAAAAGAAACUAACUAGGAUUCCCUCAGUAACGGCGAGUGAAGCGGGAAGAGCUCAAAUUUGAAAUCUUCAAGGUUCUACCUUGACGAAUUGUAGUUUAAAGAAGUGUUUUCUGUUGGAGUUUUGGUAAAAGUUCUUUGGAAUAGGACAUCAUAGAGGGUGAGAAUCCCGUAUUUGACCAUUAUUUCCAGCUUUGUGAUACACUUUCAAAGAGUCGGAUUGUUUGGGAACGCAGUCCAAAAUGGGUGGUAAAUUUCAUCUAAAGCUAAAUACUGGCGAGAGACCGAUAGCGAACAAGUACCGUGAGGGAAAGAUGAAAAGAACUUUGAAAAGAGAGUUAAACAGCACGUGAAAUUGUCAAAAGGGAAGCGUUUGACACCAGUGUUGUUUUCUCGAAAAUCAAUUAAAAAUGGUGGGAUUUUGUGUUGUAUUGACUUUAUCAGCUUUCUGCACUUUUUUCCUAUCUUUUUUAAUGCACUUUUCGUUUAACAAGUCAACAUCAAUUUCUUUUGUUGUAAAAGGGUCAUUGGAAGGUGGCUUUCUUUUCGGAGAAAGUGUUUAUAGCCUUUGGCCUCUGCAAUCGGAGAGAUUGAGGUCUGCAGCGUAGAUCCUUCGGGGUUAGAUACAUUUGUGCUAAGUUAUAGCCUUUCAUAGACAACUUGUUGACUAUGAUCAGUCAUGUAGCCUACUCGCUUAUGUUAUUUUACCUACGCUUAGGAUGUUGAGUAGCGACAUACGCAC
rnacentral:rRNA from 1 species